UAAUCACAUCCAAAUGGAGCAGUAUCAGACUCAUAUUCUGACUACAAUCUGAGUAUGACAACGUCAGGCUAAGAAAAGAUUUAAUUCACAAA